AUUGAACGCUGGCGGCAUGCUUUACACAUGCAAGUCGAACGGUAACAGGGUGCUUGCACCGCUGACGAGUGGCGAACGGGUGAGUAAUGCGUCGGAACGUGCCGAGUAGUGGGGGAUAACGCAGCGAAAGUUGUGCUAAUACCGCAUACGUACUGAGGUGGAAAGUGGGGGACCUUCGGGCCUCACGCUAUUCGAGCGGCCGACGUCUGAUUAGCUAGUAGGUGAGGUAAAGGCUCACCUAGGCGACGAUCAGUAGCGGGUCUGAGAGGAUGAUCCGCCACACUGGGACUGAGACACGGCCCAGACUCCUGCGGGAGGCAGCAGUGGGGAAUUUUGGACAAUGGGCGAAAGCCUGAUCCAGCCAUGCCGCGUGUCUGAAGAAGGCCUUCGGGUUGUAAAGGACUUUUGUCAGGGAGGAAAUCCCUAGUGCUAAUAACGAGGGAUGAUGAUAGCACUAAAGAAAGCACCGGCUAACUUCGUGCCAGCCGCCGCCGUAA
rnacentral:rRNA from 1 species